CGAUGAACCACUUCGGUGGGGAUUAGUGGCGAACGGGUGAGUAACACGUGGGCAAUCUGCCCUGCACUCUGGGACAAGCCCUGGAAACGGGGUCUAAUACCGGAUACUGAACCUUGCAGGCAUCUGUGAGGGUCGAAAGCUCCGGCGGUGCAGGAUGAGCCCGCGGCCUAUCAGCUAGUUGGUGAGGUAAUGGCUCACCAAGGCGACGACGGGUAGCCGGCCUGAGAGGGCGACCGGCCACACUGGGACUGAGACACGGCCCAGACUCCUACGGGAGGCAGCAGUGGGGAAUAUUGCACAAUGGGCGAAAGCCUGAUGCAGCGACGCCGCGUGAGGGAUGACGGCCUUCGGGUUGUAAACCUCUUUCAGCAGGGAAGAAGCGAAAGUGACGGUACCUGCAGAAGAAGCGCCGGCUAACUACGUGCCAGCAGCCGCGGUAAUACGUAGGGCGCAAGCGUUGUCCGGAAUUAUUGGGCGUAAAGAGCUCGUAGGCGGCUUGUCGCGUCGGUUGUGAAAGCCCGGGGCUUAACCCCGGGUCUGCAGUCGAUACGGGCAGGCUAGAGUUCGGUAGGGGAGAUCGGAAUUCCUGGUGUAGCGGUGAAAUGCGCAGAUAUCAGGAGGAACACCGGUGGCGAAGGCGGAUCUCUGGGCCGAUACUGACGCUGAGGAGCGAAAGCGUGGGGAGCGAACAGGAUUAGAUACCCUGGUAGUCCACGCCGUAAACGGUGGGCACUAGGUGUGGGCAACAUUCCACGUUGUCCGUGCCGCAGCUAACGCAUUAAGUGCCCCGCCUGGGGAGUA
rnacentral:rRNA from 1 species